rnacentral:rRNA from 1 species
CAGCCGCAGUAUUCUGUGCUAAGGUAGCAUAAUCACUUGUCUUCUAAUUUAAGACUAGAAUGAAAGGUUAAACGAAUAAAAAAUUUAAUACUUUAAAAUCAAUUAAAUUAUAAUUACUGUAAAAAUACAAAAAUACAACAAAAAGACGACAAGACCCUAGCGAACUUACUAACAGUUAAACUGGGGCAGUAUUAUUACCAACGUCAUAACCUAUUACUUAAAGCACUACCCUAUAAAGAAUAGACACAGUUACCGUAGGGAUAACAGCGCAAUGUGUUUAAAAAGACCUUAUAAAAAAACAAGAUUACGACCUCGAUGUUGAAUUAAUUUAUCAAGUAAGAGCAAAGUCUUACCAGAAAGUCUGUUCGACUUUUAAAAAAUUACAUGAUCUG